rnacentral:tRNA from 1 species
AUUUAUAUAGUUUAAUAAAAAAACAUUUCAUUUUCAAUGAAAAAUCAAGUCAAGACUUUAUAAAUA